rnacentral:rRNA from 1 species
AUGAGCUGUCUGCAUGCCCUACUCAACCACGCCGCGGACUCUGGUGUCCUCGCGCCGACAGGCCUUCGGAAUCACACAUCGAUCUUCGCGGAUGACGUGGUAACAUUCAUCAAGCCGGAGGCCCAAACUAUACGGGCAUGCAGACUUCUAUUGCAAGAUCUCGGGAUGGGAUCAGGACUACGCACGAAUUUAGCCAAGUGUUCCGCGCACCCGAUUAGGUGCACUGAUGAGCAAAUCAGCAUGAUAACUGCUGAUAUGGGUUGCCAAGUGCUGGGAUGGCCUUGUAGAUAUCUUGGCUUGCCGUUGGGACUACGGAAGAUCACAGCGAGUCAACUGCAAUAUAUGGUGGAUAAGAUGGCUGACAGACUACCCGCUUGGCAAGCGAGACUACUGUAUCGUGCAGGACGACUGGAGCUGGUGAAGACC